rnacentral:hammerhead_ribozyme from 1 species
AUUCAACUGACGAGUCCCAAAUAAGACAAAACGUACAUCCUGAAU